CAUUUUGUACAGAACAAAUGAAAUGAUGUGAAGGCUUGAGAGCAUUUUGGGAAGCAUAUAGCUACCAGUUUUGUGUUACCCUCCUUGGAUGGAGAUGAUAUAACAUCUUUAGUUUCUUGAAUCAACUUUCUCUCGUCAUCCUUAACAUCAAUGUGCAGAAUAUCCAAAAUUUUUGUCAUUGCUCAGGGGUUCUGUUAAUCGAUAGUAGUUUCUACUUAAUGAAUUGAAGUGAAAUUGGCAGUUUGUUAGAUUGCCAAUUACUGAGAGGAAUUGUUGACUUAAUGACCAGCUGUGAUUCGUUUCCUUUAGGCAUUUCUUGUUUAAAUUGUGCUCUGUUUGCAUGCAGC
rnacentral:misc_RNA from 1 species